rnacentral:misc_RNA from 1 species
GUGAAGAACGCAGCGAAAUGCGAUAAGUAGUGUGAAUUGCAGAAUUAAGUGAAUCAUCGAAUCUUUGAACGCACAUUGCGCCCCUUGGUAUUCCAUGGGGCAUGCCUGUUCGAGCGUCAUUUGUACCUUCAAGCUCUGCUUGGUGUUGGGUGUUUGUCUCGCCUCUGCGUGUAGACUCGCCUCAAAACAAUUGGCAGCCGGCGUAUUGAUUUCGGAGCGCAGUACAUCUCGCGCUUUGCACUCAUAACGACGACGUCCAAAAGUACAUUUUUACACUCUUGACCUCGGAUCAGGUAGGGAUACCCGCUGAACUUAAGCAUAUCAAUAAGCGGAGGA